rnacentral:rRNA from 1 species
CACGUAGGGCGCAAGCGUUGUCCGGAAUUAUUGGGCGUAAAGAGCUCGUAGGCGGUCUGUCGCGUCGGCUGUGAAACCCGGGGCUCAACCCCGGGCCUGCAGUCGAUACGGGCAGACUAGAGUGCGGUAGGGGAGACUGGAAUUCCUGGUGUAGCGGUGGAAUGCGCAGAUAUCAGGAGGAACACCGGUGGCGAAGGCGGGUCUCUGGGCAGUAACUGACGCUGAGGAGCGAAAGCGUGGGGAGCGAACAGG